UGUUAAAGUUAUCCUUCCACCUUGGCCUCCCAAAGUUCUGGAAUUAUGGGCAUGAGCUACUGCAUGCAGCCUCCAAUUAUUCUUUAAUUGUCUCGAAAUUUCUUCCUUCAUUUCUGUCAAUUUAAAGACUUCAUAUAUUUUGGGGUUCUGUUGUUGAGUGCAUAUAUGGUUAUUAUUGUUGCGUCAUCUUGAUGGAUUGUCCCUUUGAUCAUUAUGAAAUGUCCUUCUCGGUCCCUAGUCACAAUGUGUGUCUUAAAGUUUAUUUUGUCUGAUUUUAGGACAGUCAUUUUAACUCAUUUUGGUUACUAUUUAUAUAUCUUUUUCCAUCCUUUUAUUUUCAACCUAUUUGUGUCUUUGAAUCUGAAGGGAAUCUCUUGUAAACAGAAUACAGUUGUAUCAUGCUGUUUGUUAUCCCUUCUACCAGUAUCUGCUUUUGACUGGAGCGUCUAAUCUACGUUUAAUAUAAUUAUUGAUAAGUUGAGAUUUACAUAUACAGUUUUGUCAUUUAUUCUUUGUGUCUUAUAUCUUUUUUCUUCCUGUAUUCCUCUAUUACUACCUUCUUUUGUGUUAACUAUUUUUCUAGUGUAGUAUUUUAAUCCCCUUGUUUAUUUUAGUAUAUAGGGGACCUUUUAGAGCACAAUAAAACUUCUAGAGGUAGAACAUCCCACAUAACCUUAUCCUCACCCAGAGAGAAUAAAGACAGGGACAGGAUCUGGACAGAGAAUGUUGACAGUGAAACCCAGAAAGUGGCAGGCCCCAGAGAAGAAAGCUGGCAAACACAGGUGUGGACCUGUCACAAACUGGGUAGGCACCAAGGAACCAGCCCAGAAGCUUCCUGAGGACCAGGAGAGUGAAUUAUUUGACUCUGCUAUUUCUUUAAGGGAUCCUGCCUCAGGGUAGAUUUUAAUGAAUAUGUAUUGAAUGAAUGAAUCAGUAAGUCAAUUCAUCCAUCAUUCAGUCACCGUAAAGGUUAUUUGUUGGCCUGUAGCAAAUUAAUUAAACAUUUAGUUUUAGAACAACCACCAUUUUAUUAUAUCUCAUUUUGCAGACCAGAGUUGGGCAGUGCUUGGCUGGGUGGUUCUUCUGUUCCCUAUGUUUUCAGUGGAAUACUCGGCGGUAUUCAUCUGCACAGUUGGCUGAUCUGGAGGGUCCAAAACGAUUUUACUGAUACAUCUGGCACCUUAUGGAGGUGUGUGGGAGGCUGGACUCAGCUGGGACUGCCACCAGAGUAUCCACAUGUGGCUUCUCCAACCUGGCGGCCUAGGGCCCCAGAGCCAAUGUUCUAAAAGGCCUGUGUGGAAGAUGUGAGGCUUCUUGUGAUUGGACCUCUGGAGUCCCAGGUGUACUUCUGCCACAUCUUAAUGGUCAAGCACAUCACAAGGCCAGCCCAAAUUCAAGGGUAGAGGAAUUGGCCUCCCCCCUCCCUGGGAGAAGGAGGGACAGUUUGCAGAAGUCCUUAAUCUCCCACAUUUGCUUUGCUCAGACUGGGCCCUGUCACUUCUCCCUGUCAAGGCUGCAGAAGUUCCAGAGUGGCCUGCCCGCAGGUAGGCCUAGCUCCCUUCUCUCUUCCUGGAAUCUGGCCUCUGUCCUGCCCCUGCUUAGCCUGCCUGUCUGUGGAGGAUCACUUUUAGGGGUGGCUGUGUCUGUGGCAUUCUCAUCCUGCAGCGCAGCUCAUCAGGAGGCCAGCACCCGCUCCCCACGAGCUGGCUUGAGCACUGAGGAUGCUUCCUGGGCAGGGAUCUGACCUGUGCCCUGAAUGGGGGUUGGGAGUAGGCCGGACUUCCCAGCUCAGUCACCCAAGGAAUGCUUGCCCGUUCUUGUCCACAUCCCCCUCACUCUGAGCUGUAUUUUUAACUCCUGCCAUAUGGUGAAGCAGCCAAAACAUCCAGAGAGGGAAAGGGGGUCUAGAGAAAAUCAUUGCUGCAGUGCGAUUUGGAUGGCUGUAGUCACUGAGAGCGCUGCCUUCUCAGUCCCACCUUCUCCUUGGGCACUAAGCACACCCAAGUGGCCUCACUCCUGCCUGGCUGUCGUCCUGGAGGCAGGAGUAUUGGCCUGAGUGCCUCUCUUGCUCACAAGGGCGCCCUGAGCCGGUGGCCAAGUGCCUGCUGGUAGCCUGCCCCAACCCCCUGCACUGCAGCUUGCUCCGGAUGCCUGCCGUUCUCACACCUCAUGCUGUUUCCGCUGCCUGGAAUACCCGGCCCAUACCUCUGUUCUUGCCUUUUGAAACCUGCACGUCCUCUGAGGACUGACUCUGAUCUCAGAACCUUUCAUGGUGCUGACACGUGUUAGAAUAAAUGUCUUCUCAUUAUGUUUACUAUAUUUAUUCCUGUAGCCCUUGUCCCUCUGCAGGCUUCCUGUCUGGUUACCACUGGGGGCCCUGGGGGCUUGCAUCUUCCCUCUCUGGGGCAGGCAGCAGCCACACCUUGCUCAUCUUCGGAAGCCCUCCUACCAAACUGCUCAAAUUUAAAGUGACAUAUUUUGAAUGAAUCGAUGAUUGUUACAUGGACGAGAGUCUCCAGAAUGGAAUGCACACACCCCUAGGGGUGAAGGACUCGAUUCUUUGAGGUGCAGGGAAAAAAACAUCGAGAUUGUAUUUGCACUUAUUAUUUAAUUUCCUCCUUAAGCAUCUUUUUGGUGGGCCCUUUUACGGAUAUUCAUGAUGUCAGUGCAGUCUCAUCUGCACAGGACAUAAAGACACAGGUUCAUGGAGGGGCGGGUCUUGCCCAACCCUUCUGUUAGGGGAGCCUCAUUGGAAAGUUUAGUGGCAGUGGCCUGGACCACAGCUGAGCCUUCACUGCUUUCUCCAGGAGACAGCAGCUUUCCUGGCAUGAGAGUCUCCUCUAUGAGAUGGGCUGAAGCAAGUGUGUCUUAAGCACCUGCUGUGUGCUGGCUGAUCCUUUUUUAAUCAUGCAGCCCCAUUCUGAAGAUGAGAAAACUGAGGCUCAAAGAGGUGAAGCCCUUGCCUGGAGUUGUAUAGCUAGUAGGUGGCAAGGGCCAGACAUGGACCUGGUCUGUGGGACUCCCAAACCAGUGCUCUUGGUGUGGCCCUGUUGCCCUCCUCUGGCUGAGCUCUUGGGCUCUGCCCAGGGCUAUGCAUUGGCAGUGACAGGACCUGGCCUCCAUGUCUCUUUGGUCUCUGCAGAGGGUGGUCCUGCUCCAGCAGUGGUGUG